UUCAGUGAUGACACUGUCUAUUUUGGAAGACCAAAUGAACACACAAAAAGGAUAUUUACAAUAUAAACCAGAAGAAUGAAGUGAUACAUGUCCAUUACAGAAAAUGGUGAAAAUAGAGAUCAGCACAAUUAAAACCACCUGUAAUUUCAUCAUCUAAAGUGACCUCAGGCCGAUGUUCCUCUUUUACUUCUCCACCUUUGACUUCUGUUAAAGGGGCGUAUCCUGGCAGCCUUCUCUCUUCCACAGGUGAGUGGG